CAGAGUUAUACAACUCCCAUACCAUUUGUAAACUUUACUCAGUUAUGCCUCGGCGUCAGCUCAGUAAGGAGGCAGAGUGGUGUUACCCUGUAGCCUACCCUGUAGGUUACCCUGUAGCGCUACCCUGUAUCAACUCCUGCUGCGGCCCGCCGGUGGUACACUAAACUCUUGUUUUAUUUUAUAUUCUGAGCGUAUUAUUUUAAUAAUUA
rnacentral:misc_RNA from 1 species